rnacentral:rRNA from 1 species
GAUGAACGCUGGCGGCGUGCCUAAUACAUGCAAGUCGAGCGAACAGACGAGGAGCUUGCUCCUCUGACGUUAGCGGCGGACGGGUGAGUAACACGUGGAUAACCUACCUAUAAGACUGGGAUAACUUCGGGAAACCGGAGCUAAUACCGGAUAAUAUAUUGAACCGCAUGGUUCAAUAGUGAAAGACGGUUUUGCUAUCACUUAUAGAUGGAUCCGCGCCGCAUUAGCUAGUUGGUAAGGUAACGGCUUACCAAGGCGACGAUGCGUAGCCGACCUGAGAGGGUGAUCGGCCACACUGGAACUGAGACACGGUCCAGACUCCUACGGGAGGCAGCAGUAGGGAAUCUUCCGCAAAGGGCGAAAGCCUGACGGAGCAACGCCGCGUGAGUGAUGAAGGUCUUCGGAUCGUAAAACUCUGUUAUUAGGGAAGAACAAAUGUGUAAGUAACUAUGCACGUCUUGACGGUACCUAAUCAGAAAGCCACGGCUAACUACGUG